CAACGAUGAAGAGUUUGAUCCUGGCUCAGGAUGAACGCUAGCGGCAGGCCUAACACAUGCAAGUCGAACGGUAACAUUGGUGCUUGCACCAGAUGACGAGUGGCGCACGGGUGCGUAACGCGUAUGCAAUCUGCCUUGUACUGGAGUAUAGCCCAGGGAAACUUGGAUUAAUCCUCCAUAGUAUAUAGAAAUGGCAUCAUUUUUAUAUUAAAGGUUACGGUACAAGAUGAGCAUGCGUCCCAUUAGCUAGUAGGUAUGGUAACGGCAUACCUAGGCAACGAUGGGUAGGGGUCCUGAGAGGGAGAUCCCCCACACUGGUACUGAGACACGGACCAGACUCCUACGGGAGGCAGCAGUGAGGAAUAUUGGACAAUGGGGGCAACCCUGAUCCAGCCAUGCCGCGUGCAGGAAGACUGCCCUAUGGGUUGUAAACUGCUUUUAUAGGGGAAGAACCCCCUCCACGUGUGGAGGGCUGACGGUACCCUACGAAUAAGGAUCGGCUAACUCCGUGCCAGCAGCCGCGGUAAUACGGAGGAUCCAAGCGUUAUCCGGAAUCAUUGGGUUUAAAGGGUCCGUAG
rnacentral:rRNA from 1 species